UACGUAGGCGGCCUGGCAAGUUGGGUGUGAAAUCCCUCGGCUCAACCGAGGAACUGCACUCAAAACUGCCAGGCUCGAGGGAGAUAGAGGUAAGCGGAACUCAGGGUGGAGCGGUGGAAUGCGUUGAUAUCCUGGGGAACACCAGUUGCGAAGGCGGCUUACUGGGUCUCUUCUGACGCUGAGGUACGAAAGCUAGGGGAGCGAACG
rnacentral:rRNA from 1 species